rnacentral:rRNA from 1 species
AUUGAACGCUGGCGGCGGGCCUAACACAUGCAAGUCGAGCGGAGCGGCGGACGGGUGAGUAAUGCCUAGGAAUCUGCCUGGUAGUGGGGGAUAACGUCCGGCAACGGGCGCUAAUACCGCAUACUAUCAGAUGAGCCUAGGUCGGAUUAGCUAGUUGGUGGGGUAAAGGCCUACCAAGGCGACGAUCCGUAACUGGUCUGAGAGGAUGAUCAGUCAAACGGGAACUGAGACACGGUCCAGACUCCUCCGGGAGGCAGCAGUGGGGAAUAUUCGAAAAUGGGGGAAAUCCUGCUCCGGCCAUGCCGGGUGUGUGAAAAAGGUUUUCGGUUUGAAAAGCACGUUAAGUUGGGAGGCGGUACCAACAGAAUAAGCACCGGCUAACUUCGUGCCAGCCGCCGCGGUAAUAC